rnacentral:ncRNA from 1 species
AACUCCAAACCUGGUAAUCUCUAGCAAGGAGCCAGUAUCUAGUCUUGGAGCCAAAAUCGUGAGAUUAGGUUUAAGCGUAGACAAGAAAGUGUUCGAGCCGAAAUGCGAAAGCGUGAAGUGAUUGAGCCUCGUUAUUAAAACAUUAAACAUGGAAGCUUAUGUACUCCUUAUUACAGCAAGCAACAUUUAUAGUAUCGUUACAGCGAGAUAUUAUAAAUUCCAUCGGGGUCUAAGAAC